UACUAAAUAAACCUUGUCUGAUCGAUUACUGUUUGCUUUAUUUGGGCUACUUAUUAGUGCAGACCUAAUCCUUGAGGCCCAACAUUAAGCCCAAUAGACAAACAUAACGGACCCACGUCCGCGGCUCCUUCUCCCCUUCCACCUCCGAUGGCCACAACGACGACGACGGCGGCAGCGGCGGCGGCCACCGCCAGCUUCGGACCAACGCCUCCACGGCCUCCGACUGCUGCGCCACCCGCUCCUCCGCCGCCAUCCACCGCGGGCGCCGUCAAGUCAGAGGUCCCUCCCACCCCCACAUCCUCUACCGCCACCGCCGCCGCUGCCGGAGCAGAGGAUCCAUCCCACAUUAUCACCGUUCCGAGCUACUCAGCGUGGUUCUCGUAUGACUCCAUCCACGACACGGAGCGCCGCCUCCUUCCGGAGUUCUUCGAGGGGGAAGCUGCGGCGGCGUCCGGGUGCCGGGGCCCGGGCGCGUAUAAGUACUACCGCGACAACCUGGUGAGGAGGUUCCGGGCGCGGCCGGGUCGGCGGCUCACGCUCACCGAGGCCAGGCGGGGCCUUGUCGGCGACGUCGGCUCCGUGCGCCGCGUCUUCGACUUCCUUGAGGAGUGGGGGCUCAUCAACUAUGGUGCUUUGCCGUCGGGCUCGAAGCAGGCGAAAGAGAAGAGGGAGGAGGCUGCGCCACAGUCGUCGUUGCCUUCUGGGGCAACGGUACCCAGGAAGCUCUGCACUGGGUGCCGCACCGUGUGUGGCCUUGCUUACUUCGCCUGCGAGAAGGCAGAUAUAAGUCUCUGUGCUAGAUGCUUUGUACGUGCUAACUACAGGCCAGGUCUGACUGCAGCAGACUUCAAGAGAGUUGAAAUUACUGAAGAUGCAAAAUCAGAUUGGACAGACAAAGAAACCCUUCACUUGCUUGAGGCUGUCUUGCAUUAUGGAGAAGACUGGAAAAAGGUGUCUGAACAUGUUGGUAGUCGAUCAGAGAAAGACUGCAUUGCCAGAUUCAUCCGAUUACCUUUUGGAGAACAAUUCAUGGGACCCAAGGAGGAUAAAAUGCGGUUUGAGAAUGAUAAUGACACUACCGAUGAGCCUGGAGCAGAUGUCUCAAAACGACAAAGUCUCACUCCACUGGCUGAUGCAAGCAACCCGAUUAUGGCUCAGGUUGCAUUCCUAUCGGCCAUUGUGGGUUCAGAAGCUGCCUCGGCUGCAGCUCAAGCAGCUAUUUCUGCACAAUCCCAGGUUGACCUAAAUGAUGGUGAGAUUGAUUCUUCAAUGAACAGCACCAGGGAGGAAGUCAACGAUUUACUCAGAGAGGCUGCUACUAAUGCACGAGUGCAACUUGAGAAGGAACGGAGCAGUAUAGAGCAAUCUUUAUCCGACAUAGUAGAUGUCCAGAUGAAGGAAAUCCAAGAUAAAAUAUGCCAUUUUGAACAGAAGGAGAUACUGAUGGAGAAAGAGCGACAACAGCUCCAUUGUUUAAGGGAUUUGCUUUUUGCAGACCAACUGGCAGUUGCGCAACAUCAUCGCAGGCCCCCAGCUGUACCCAUGGAGAGCAAAGAUGACGAGAAGCCAAAACCCGUGAUUAACAUAGGUUGGUUCGAAUAGAGCUUCAUCAUAGCAUGCUUUUGAUGUGAGAUUGAAACCGUGUUCCUUUGCAUCAGCCGUUGUAGGCAUGCCGGGUUGUGCGUGUAUGACGACUACCAGCUGGUUGUGCUUUUCUAGGAGGCAUCGAAGUACAGAUCUGUUUUAUGCCCAUGCAUUUGUAAGACAAUUAUAGGUUGAUUUAAGGAACGGGUGAUGAUGGAUCAUCCGAUCUUAGCUCUGAGCUCAACUCAAUUGAUUUGUUUGGUUUGAGGAAUAUA